rnacentral:tRNA from 1 species
GAUAAGUUGGCAGAUUUAAUGCAUUAAAUUUAGAAUUUAUUAAUACAAUAUUUUAUUGUACUUAUCA